rnacentral:rRNA from 1 species
GUGCCAGCAGCCGCGGUAAGACGAGGGGUCCAAGCGUUGUUCGGAAUUAUUGGGCGUAAAGCGGGUGUAGGUGGCUCUAUAAGUCAGGAGUGAAAUCCCCGAGCUUAACUUGGGAAGUGCUUUUGAUACUGCAGAGCUUGAAUGUGGGAGAGGAUAAUAGAAUUCCAGGUGUAGUGGUGAAAUACGUAGAUAUCUGGAGGAAUACCGGUGGCGAAGGCGGUUAUCUGGCCCAACAUUGACACUGAGACCCGAAAGCGUGGGGAUCAAACAGGAUUAGAUACCCCCGUAGUCC